CAACCAGGUUCUUAUGGAAAUUGCAUGCACCAGGUCUUCGAAGCAAUUGCUCGAAGCAAGGCAGGCUUAUCAUGCUCGUUUUAAGAAGUCCCUUGAAGAGGAUGUUGGUUAUCACACCAAUGGGGACUUCCGCAAGCUUUUGCUACCCCUUGUGACUGCCUACCGAUAUGAGGGUGAUGAGGUGAACAUUACACUUGCAAAAUCAGAAGCUAAGAUUCUCAAUGAGAAGAUUUCUGAUAAGGCUUACAAUGAUGAAGAUCUCAUCAGGAUCUUGGCUACAAGGAGCAAAGCACAGAUCAAUGCGACUCUGAAUCAAUAUAAGAAUGUAUAUGGGAAUGAUAUUGAUCAGGACUAAGAGGCUGACCCUAAAGAUGAGUACCUCGACCUACUGAGGGCCACAGUUCAGUGCUUAGUCCACCCUGAACAUUAUUUUGAGAAGAUACUUCAUCUGGCAAUUAACAAACAGGGAACAGAUGAAGGGGCUCUUACUAGAGUCGUCACCACAUGGGCCGAGGUCGACUUGAAGGUCAUAAAAGAUGAGUACCAGAGGAACGGUGUUCCUCUGGAUCGUGCCGUUGUCAAGGACACCUCUGGGGACUACGAAAAAAUGCUUCUGGCACUGUUAGGACAUGGGGAUGCUUGAGUUGUUCCCUAUUUCUUGAAGGAUUGAGAGACAAAUAUGUGUUUUAUUUAUCUAGGUUUGCUGUUGCUUGAGUUUGCAGAGUUCUCCAUCCAUGUUUGAUGAUCGUUUUAUUUUCCGUCUUUUGGUUAUGCCGGUUGAAAAACUUAAUCUAUGAGCGCUUCAGUUAUCUCAUAUAUAUUCAAAAUAAUAUCUGAUUUAUAUAUGCAUCUAAAUGGUGGUUGGUUUGUGAUUAGCAACUUGAUGCUUGAGUGUGUGAUGAUCUAAUUCUAAUGCCCCUGAAGCAGAUGAUGUUGCAAUGUAACAACUUAUAUGGGUAGAAACUUUUGGUUUUGAUAGAAAUAAAAAUUUUUCUUUUGCUUCAUUGUUUUGAGUCUCAUGUGCUAAUAAUGCUUGAUUCAAUUGAUUGGAAAACAAAUUUUGUGACCAGAGUAAUGCCAGUACUGCUUGAAACUAGUUCUGAGUCACAAUGAAAGAUACUUUGGUUGGUGGGUGAAAACUGGAUGUGGAAAGGCAGUAUGUGAAAGAGAUCAGUUACUUAUAAUGAUUUAGUAGCUUACUAUAUGAAAGUCUAACUUGGAAUUCUGGAAUUGCCCUCUUUUUUUUUAUUUGUCAGAGGAUUCUUGUAGUCUUACGUAGUUUUCUCAUUUUAUCUCAUUUGUCUUUCUGCAUUACAUGUUCAAUGAAGUCAUCAUUUUUUAAGCAUUGUGAUUGACUGACUUCAUUGUAUAUUCAUGUACACUAGCUUUUGCUACCCCUUGUGACUGCCUACCGAUAUGAGGGUGAUGAGGUGAACAUUACACUUGCAAAAUCAGAAGCUAAGAUUCUCCAUGAGAAGAUUUCUAAUAAGGCUUACAAUGAUGAGGAUCUCAUCAGGAUCUUGGCUACAAGGAGCAAAGCACAGAUCAAUGCGACUCUGAAUCAAUACAAGAAUGUAUAUGGGAAUGAU
rnacentral:lncRNA from 1 species